UUUUAUAUUUGAAUAAUUUAAAUUCAUUACAUUGUGUUAAACUUAGGUUGUUAUGUGUCUUUUUUUUUUUGUUUGUUAAAUUUUGUGUGGCAGAGCACAAUGUGUUGUAAUGUACAAAGUUAAUUGAAAUUAACUUCGUACAUAUUUUUUCAUUUUUAGUUAAACUUAGUUUCCCGUUCGAGAGUAGUUAGAUUUCGUGCAUGGAUGCGUAAUGCAUGAUUGUGGUCCAAUUAUUUCUUGAAUUGUCCCAUUAUUUGGACAGUUUGGGAAUGCAUAGGCAUG
rnacentral:lncRNA from 1 species